CUUUGUUCCUUGAUGAGGGAGACAGAUAUGGGAGCUAAACUCCAGGAGAUGCUCCAUUCCUUACCUGCAUCAACUCUCUCCAAGGCUAUCCUUAGGUCCUCAUCUGCCCUGAAUUUGGGAAGUCAAGACUUCCAGAAACCUUCAGGCAGGAGUCUGCCCCAGGAGGCUGGCCUCAUGGCAGCUACUCUCCAUUCUUCCCCAUCAGCCUUCUGACACCACCACAUCCCCAAGGCCUGGCACAGCACCAGGCAUGUGUGCAGCAGCCUGGGAACUCAGGAUAAUGGAUCCUCGAACAUGUAUAAUGCAGGAUGGAAAAGCAUCUUUCUCCUCUGGGGCUGGCAAUGUAAUUUCAUACUAAAUUUACUGCGGUUUAUGUAAUUCUUUUCAUUCACACCAGAAGGAGUUUCUUUGCUGCUUCCCUUUUCAGAAACUUGGAGACCAUAUAUCUUUGCAAAGUAGAUUUUUAAAAAUAAAACAGAGAAGAAAAACCAGAGAAGCUCUUAAGUUUCCGGCCUUCUGCCUGGACCAGCUUAUUAUGCUUCUUCCUUUCCAGAAUUGAUAUGGUAAAUGUUAAUGCAGUAGCACUGGCUCUGAAAAGCCUAGGUCUUCCAAGAAAGCAACCUUCAAGGAGGAAUUCUGCAGCUUCCUCUCCUCUGGGGAGUUGGAGGAGCCAGAGGUUGGGGAAAAGACAGAGACAGAAUUGCCCCAUCAGUGACUUUCAGGAGAAUGUGAACAGGUGACACAGAUCUUAUCUCCAUGUGUUCCUACUCUUUUUCCACUGUCUGUCUCCUGAGCCAUCUCUGAUUCCUUCAAAGGCCUUUGCUGGCAGUGUCCAAAGUGUCCAAGCUCCUCUGUCUCCUGGAAGAAUCUACCUCUUUCUGCUCCUCAAUGAAGGAAGGACAGAGCCAGGAGAUGGAGCAGAAGAGGGGCAGGCCAAGCUCACCAGAGGGCAUAUGUCUUGGAUACUGGGAUCCUAGCCAGUCUGGACGUUGGUCCUUUCAAAAUCCUCACCACCACAUUUCUAAUACUGGGAAUAUCGAUCUUGAGCUGAACUUAGAAUAAAAUCCUCCCUCAAAUUGCACAAAGCCCUGUAAGCAGCUUCCUCCAGCCCUUUUUCCAACCCCAUCAGAUGCCAUCGCCUAUCACACCUGGGCACAGUGAUGUCGUUUCUGCUUCUUUAACACACCAGGCUCUUUCCUGCCUUCGGGGAAGCCAUCCCCUUUACUUGGAAGUCUGUGCUGUAUACAUCAGCUGGCUCCUCAAGCUUUGCACGGGAACCUAAUUGUCUUCUUGUCAGAGAGGUCUCCCCGACCACCCUUUCUACAGCAGAUCUCCCCCACCUCCCAUUCCCUCACAUGUUAAAUUUCCUUCAUAGUAUUUUGCACAAGUCAUGAUCUCCUUUAUGUGCAAUUUGUCUACUGUCUGAGUCCUCCACUGCAAUGUUCUCCAAGGGUGGAGACCACAUCUUUCUUGUCCCUGCUCAAUCUCCAGUGCUUAACACAGGGCUCAGACUCAACAAACAUUUAUCAAACGGAUAAUUGAAUUCCAGCUGUCUGUGGUGCACACAGACUGCGAACUCUUGAGGGCAGGGGCUUCUUUCCUCUCUGCAGCCCCAGCACAUGGUGCAGAGAAGACUCUGGCACUAUUUAUGAAUAAAUGAAAUUGUCCCCCUCAUUCUGUAUUAGAGCCGUUCUACUCCUAACUCCUGUAGAGGAGUCCAUCUGAUCAACCAGAGACCAGGAAGGCAGAGCAGGCCAGGCAUGCUGCAGGCCACAUGCCAGUGUCCAAUUAUCAGGUGACAUCAUCUCCAGAUGAGUUGGAAAGAAAAUGAUUAUCGUAAACAGUCACAGCCCAUUGACUAUUUCUCUGGCAUUUAUAAUCACUGUUAGACAGCUGCGCCUGGUCCCUUUCCCACGCCUGCUCUAGAGAGCUGAGGUUUUCUGUUGGGUUUUGGUAAGGGUGUUUUUCCUGGCUCAUUGCUGGAAAAGGCUUUGGAGAGCUUCUAGUAUCUAGCCCAACCUCUCACCCUUCUCAGUCCCUCCACCUCUCCAAGGUCAAGGAACGCACCAUUUCAAGAGGCAGGGCCUCCUGUCCUGCACAGCUCUGGGCUUUGCAAUUUCUUGCCCAGGUGGAAGCCAAAAAGUCCUUCCUGUGAUUUCAUCUGUUGGUCUAGACUCUCCCACCUGGGACCACAUUCUAAGGAUGGCCCCAUAGACAUAUAAGAUGAUACUGGGUCUUUCUGUGGCCCCAGCAAUUAUUCUACCCCAGUGACACUUCCUGUUCCUUUGUCACUGCUGUUCAUUUCUUCUUUCCUGUGGGCCCCAGGCCUCUCCAAGGGGGCCUCUGUUCACACUGGCUGGCAUGCUCUUGCCCCAAACCCAAUCAGUAGGAAGUGGGAACCCAGUAUCUCAAAUUCCCUCUGUUGUGUUUAAGGUACCUUCCCUACCCCUAGGGUUGCAGAAGGAAGGAGGAGUUAUUUUGCUUCCUUGAUCAGGGGUGAUCAAGAAACCAAAAAUGAUGAAGUUUCAGAAUCCUACUAUCUUUUUACACAUCAUGGUCCCGAAUCUGUAACUGCCCUUCUUGCUAAGAUGGUAACUGGGCACCUCAUUGAGGAACGACUUUUACUAUCUUGAGGGUGGGAUUUGUAACAGUCCCCUUUCUUCUAACUCUUCCCUCUUAGGCUCCUCACUCUGGAAGAUGUUGCUAUUAGGUGUGCCUUAGUCUCAGGUGGGCAGUUUGCUUCUCCAAGUGGCUUUAAAUUGGGGAGCAGCCAACCCUUGUCUUUAUCUCUAAGGAAUAGCACAGCUGUGGGGAUUUCCUUAUAGUCCCGACCCUCCUCUUAGGAGAGGUUAGCAGCCCUAGUCCCCAAGUCAUUCUCAUGUGCCAUGGUCUCAAGUCCCUUCUCCUGCCUGACAGUUUCCCUCUGGUCAUUCUUUAGCCCAUCAGUGUCAGGAAUAAUAAUAAUGGAUUGUUGUUAUGAGAUUAAGCCAGUGAUAUAAGAAUACCCAAAUCCUGCCUUCAAAUAAUCUGUAUCUCCAUAUGUUGGCUUGU